rnacentral:misc_RNA from 1 species
AAGUCGUAACAAGGUCUCCGUUGGUGAACCAGCGGAGGGAUCAUUACAGAGUUGCAAAACUCCCAACCCUUUGUGAACGAACCUACCAGUUGCCUCGGCGGCGAGCCCCCUGGGCGGACCGCCGGAGGAAUACAAACUCUUUGCAUUAUAGUAUCUCUGAUUACUUAUUCAAUAAGUUAAAACUUUCAACAACGGAUCUCUUGGUUCUG